rnacentral:rRNA from 1 species
AACGAACGCUGGCGGCAUGCCUAACACAUGCAAGUCGAACGAGACCUUCGGGUCUAGUGGCGCACGGGUGCGUAACGCGUGGGAACCUGCCCUUAGGUUCGGAAUAACUCCCCGAAAGGGGUGCUAAUACCGGAUAAUGUCUUCGGACCAAAGAUUUAUCGCCUUUGGAUGGGCCCGCGUUGGAUUAGCUAGUUGGUAGGGUAAAAGCCUACCAAGGCGACGAUCCAUAGCUGGUCUGAGAGGAUGAUCAGCCACACUGGGACUGAGACACGGCCCAGACUCCUACAGGAGGCAGCGGUGGGGAGUAUUAGACAAUGGGCGAAAGCCUGAUCCAGCAGUGCCGCGUGAGUGAUGAAGGCCUUAGGGUUGUAAAGCUCUUUUACCCGGGAGGAUAAUGACGGUACCGGGAGAAUAAGCUCCGGCUAACUCCGUG